rnacentral:rRNA from 1 species
UACGGAGGGAGCUAGCGUUGUUCGGAUUUACUGGGCGUAAAGCGCGUGUAGGCGGCUUGGCAAGUUGGAUGUGAAAGCCCACGGCUCAACCGUGGAAGCGCAUCCAAAACUGCUUCGCUCGAGUCUCGGAGAGGAAGGUGGAAUGCUUGGUGUAGAGGUGAAAUUCGUAGAUAUCAAGCAGAACACCUGCGGCGAAGGCGGCCUUCUGGACGAUGACUGACGCUGAGACGCGAAAGCGUGGGGAGCAAACAGG